AUACGUAGGGAGCGAGCGUUGUCCGGAAUUACAGGGUGUAAAGGGAGCGUAGGCGGGAUGGCAAGUCAGAUGUGAAAACUAUGGGCUCAACCCAUAGACUGCAUUUGAAACUGUUGUUCUUGAGUGAAGUAGAGGUAAGCGGAAUUCCUGGUGUAGGGGUGAAAUGCGUAGAUAUCAGGAGGAACAUCGGUGGCGAAGGCGGCUUACUGGGCUUUUACUGACGCUGAGGCUCGAAAGCGUGGGGAGCAAACAGGAUUAGAUACCCUGGUAGUCCACGCUGUAAACGAUGAUUACUAGGUGUGGGGGGACUGACCCCUUCCGUGCCGCAGUUAACACAAUAAGUAAUCCACCUGGGGAGUACGGCCGCAAGGUUGAAACUCAAAUGAAUUGACGG
rnacentral:rRNA from 1 species